rnacentral:rRNA from 1 species
AUUCUUGGUCAUUUAGAGGAAGUAAAAGUCGUAACAAGGUCUCCGUAGGUGAACCUGCGGAGGGAUCAUUACACAAAUAUGAAGGCGGGCUGGAACCUCUCGGGGUUACAGCCUUGCUGAAUUAUUCACCCUUGUCUUUUGCGUACUUCUUGUUUCCUUGGUGGGUUCGCCCACCACUAGGACAAACAUAAACCUUUUGUAAUUGCAAUCAGCGUCAGUAACAAAUUAAUAAUUACAACUUUCAACAACGGAUCUCUUGGUUCUGGCAUCGAUGAAGAACGCAGCGAAAUGCGAUAAGUAGUGUGAAUUGCAGAAUUCAGUGAAUCAUCGAAUCUUUGAACGCACAUUGCGCCCUUUGGUAUUCCAAAGGGCAUGCCUGUUCGAGCGUCAUUUGUACCCUCAAGCUUUGCUUGGUGUUGGGCGUCUUGUCUCUAGCUUUGCUGGAGACUCGCCUUAAAGUAAUUGGCAGCCGGCCUACUGGUUUCGGAGCGCAGCACAAGUCGCACUCUCUAUCAGCAAAGGCCUAGCAUCCAUUAAGCCUUUUUUUCAACUUUUGACCUCGGAUCAGGUAGGGAUACCCGCUGAACUUAAGCAUAUCAAUAAGCGGAGGAAAAGAAACCAACAGGGAUUGCCCUAGUAACGGCGAGUGAAGCGGCAACAGCUCAAAUUUGAAAUCUGGCUCUUUUAGAGUCCGAGUUGUAAUUUGCAGAGGGCGCUUUGGCUUUGGCAGCGGUCCAAGUUCCUUGGAACAGGGCGUCACAGAGGGUGAGAAUCCCGUACGUGGUCGCUGGCUAUUGCCGUGUAAAGCCCCUUCGACGAGUCGAGUUGUUUGGGAAUGCAGCUCUAAAUGGGAGGUACAUUUCUUCUAAAGCUAAAUAUUGGCCAGAGACCGAUAGCGCACAAGUAGAGUGAUCGAAAGAUGAAAAGAAUCU